GCGGGAAUAGCUCAGUUGGUAGAGCACAACCUUGCCAAGGUUGGGGUCGCGGGUUCGAAUCCCGUUUCCCGCUUCA
rnacentral:tRNA from 1 species